rnacentral:rRNA from 1 species
UACGGGGGGGGCAAGCGUUGUUCGGAAUUACUGGGCGUAAAGGGCUCGUAGGUGGCCAACUAAGUCAUACGUGAAAUCCCUCGGCUUAACCGGGGAACUGCGUCUGAUACUGGAUGGCUUGGAUUUGGGAGAGGGAUGCGGAAUUCCAGGUGUAGCGGUGAAAUGCGUAGAUAUCUGGAGGAACACCGGUGGCGAAGGCGGCAUCCUGGACCAAUAUUGACGCUGAGGAGCGAAAGCCAGGGGAGCAAACGGG